AUGGGGAGUGACGGCGCUACUGCCAGGAAUGCCGGCGGUGCCAUGGAUGGCGACUCCGGCAUGGAUCUUGCUUCACCGACCGACAGAAUUCAUGGAAAUGUGGCCAUGGACGGUAACCUGAUGGUUAGUAGAGGUUCUGGAGAUGCCCAGCAGUUGGAGGAUGCUAGGAGGACGAACACGGAUACUACGCGGGUGGUCAUAAAUCCACUGCUGCUAGCAUCAGCGUGCUUUGGCUCGUGGAAGGCAUUGAAUUUUCUUCUCGUCAGGGAAGACGCACAAAAGCCACCAAUGGUGAUGCAGACUCAGGCAUUUAUUCACUUGCUAAUGGGUGACGACGACGGCUCAGCACACCAGGCCUUCGAGAAUGACGUUGAAGAGGGCGUUGAUCAGCUUGCUUUGCCUGAUGGUGGGUAUGCACAGCUCCUCCUCGACGGUGUCAUGGUUGAGGGGGACACUGUACUGCAUGCGGUUGCCAGUCAUGGGGAUGACAGGAAUUAUUUGGAAUGUGCUAACAUUAUCUACGGCAGAGCCAAGCACCUCCUUUUUGCGCUAAACGACAAGGGUGACACGCCCUUGCAUUGUGCUGCUAGAGUUGGGAAUUCAAAGAUGGUUUCUCAGCUCAUUAACCUAGUUACAAGUGAGGAUGAAAGGCAUCAGCUCUUGAGAAAGGAGAACGGGCGUAAGGAGACGGCCUUGCAUGACGCUGUCCGCAUCGGGAACAAUCAUAUAGUUGAUCUGCUAAUGACGGCAGACAAGCAAUUGGCUAACUACCCCAGCGGAGGCAUUUCCCCGUUGUACCUUGCCAUCUUGCUGGAGAAGUACACCAUUGCAAUGACGCUUUACGAAACAAGUGAAGGGAACCUCUCCUACUCCGGACCAAAUGGACAAAAUGCAUUGCAUGCUGCGGUUCGUCGGAGCAAAGGUAUGACAAAUAAGUUACUGACAUGGAACAAGAGCCUUACAACACAAGCGGACAAAAACGGGAGUACGCCUCUUCACUUCGCUUCAGAUCAGUUUAAUAUACAUGGUUUAAGUGUGAGGCAACAAGUCGUGAUGAUCACUAUGUUCCCUUGGCGUCGUUACACCUGUGGUACCCAAAUUCUGAAGCAAGUAUUCAAAGCUAACCUAGCUCAACUGUAUCAACCAGACAAGAGCGGAUUAUUCCCCAUACAUAUAGCGGCAUCCAUUGGCUGCGAAAGAACUAUAGCCAUUUUUAUCGCGAGCUGUCCUAGUAGCGCCAGUUUGCGUGACACAAGGGGGAGGACAUUUCUUCACGUUGUUGUUGAGAAAAAGAUGGGCAAUAUAGUCUCAUUUGUUGGUCGAAAUUCAUCUCUAGCUUGGAUUUUAAACUUGCAAGACAAUGAGGGAAACACGGCACUGCACUUAGCUGCCCAAGCCGGAAAUUUUCGGUUGUGUUGUUCUCUGUUCGGGAAUCCAAGAACGCUCCUAAGUUUGACAAACCACAAUGGACAAACUCCUCUCGAUGUGGCAGACAUUGGCACCAAGUUCUUGAUUUUUCCGCUUACCGAAGGAGACGUAUCUACGGUGCUCAGACAGGCUGGUGCCAAGAGAGGCGUUUGUCGCACGGAUCACUUUGCAGAGAAGUACAAUAUCCCAGCGAAUAAAAUGAAACAAUCAGAGUUGCUGAAAGAUUCAGCACAAAGUACAGGCAUCGUAUCGGUUCUAAUAGCCACCAUGACAUUUGGUGCAACUUUCGCUCUACCUGGAGGUUACAGAGCGGAUGACCACACUAAUGGUGGCACACCAACGCUUGCUGGGAGGUAUGUGUUCAGUGCAUUCCUAGUGGCCAACACAUUAGCUUUUGUUUGCUCUUCAAUAGCUACGGUUGGCAUCAUGUACGCUGGUAACCCUACAAAUAAGAUGUCAGCCCGUAGAGCACACUUUGUGGCAUCUUCGUUCUUCGCACAUGGAUCGGUGACAAGCCUCAGUGUUGCUUUUGCACUUGGCGUAUAUUUGGUGCUAGCUCCCGUUGCACCCAAGACUGCCAUCGCGAUCUGUUUAAUCAGUUCCCUUGUAGUGCUUUACAAUGAAUUUGAAGGUCUAUGGAGAGUAGUUCUUGCCACAAAUUCUAUUCGUAAGAGAUUGGGGUUAAUUAGAGCAAUGAACUCGGGCAUUCCGAGGACCAUUGGAAGAAUCGUUAGGGGAUUUUGGCAAUUUAUAAUCAUUUUUAUUUGGCUUGCAUAUGUCAGCAUAAGUCAGCAACAUUAA
rnacentral:rRNA from 1 species